GUGGUGGUAGCUCAAUGGAUAGAGUGCUGGACUGUGAAUCCAGCGAUGCGAGUUCGAACCUCGUUCAUCACCCCA
rnacentral:tRNA from 1 species